CAAGAAUCUUCAGCAUCCUUCCAUAAAGUGAGAUGGGUGUUCCAGAAACCCUGAGAAGCCCAUCCAGAGUGGGAUGCAGCCAGACCUGUGAGGAGCGUUGCCAAAGCCAGCAGAGUUGGAAAUAUAAUCUUGGAUUCCCUUUAAAGAUAUUUACUAACAAGAAGAAGCCCUGUGUUUCAGGGUAUGAACCUCAGAAAUAAUCUUUCAGAGAAGAGAUGUUUUCUAUAAUAAAACACUAAGUAGCAAGCCA